UUUGACCUCAAAUCAGGUAGGACUACCCGCUGAACUUAAGCAUAUCAAUAAGCGGAGGAAAAGAAACUAACAAGGAUUCCCCUAGUAACUGCGAGUGAAGCGGGAAAAGCUCAAAUUUGAAAUCUGGCAGUCUUUUUUUUCUUCUUUGGCUGUCCGAGUUGUAAUCUAGAGAAGUGCUUACCUGCACUGGACCAUGUAUAAGUCUCCUGGAAUGGAGCGUCACAGAGGGUGAGAAUCCCGUCUUUGACAUGGACUGCCAGUGUGUUGUGGUGUGCUCUCAAAGAGUCGAGUUGUUUGGGAAUGCAGCU
rnacentral:rRNA from 1 species